CAUAUCACAUCUAAACACCAGUUCCUCUCUGAUUACCAAAGUUAAGCAAUGCUAAGCCUGGUCAGUACUUAGAUAGGUGACUGCUUGGGAAUACCAGAUGUUGUAAG